CUUUCAUUUUUUCAAUCUCACAUUACCUCCCCACCUCCCCCCCUCCCCAAAAAAAUAAGUAUAGUUUGCUGCUUCAGUUCAUCCAUAUUCCAAUAAGUUCCACUUUGUAAUGAAGUAAAUACAAUAUCCUAGCUUAUUUCGACCCUGUUUAUUUUAAAGUUGGAAAAGUUUUUUGUAAAAAUCACAAAGUUUGUUUUCGAAAUUCAAAUUUUGUUGAAAACCACAAUAUGGUUGGCAUAAGAAUAAAAAAACAACCGAAGAACACAACCCUCCUAUAAGUCAGUACUGUAUAGAACUGCCUCGUUCCUCAACAAAUCCAUUUCAUUUGUAUCCAGGAAUAAUCAAACUCAUGUAUUAAGAGUGUGCUGGGAUAAAUAAGACAGGACUAUUAAACAACAAGGCAGUUCUAACAGUGCUAAUUUUAUAAGUAUUGCACACUUCAAUUGAUCACUGAAUUGGUUUUUAUCUCAAAUUACA